rnacentral:sRNA from 1 species
UGCCUAACCCUCUUGAAUUAAAAAUUUAGAGAUAUGGCAUAAAAUCCCAUCCCUGAUACUGAGCUCUUCGUUCAGCUACUCAGGGAUGGGUCGUAUAGGGAAACUUGUAUGGAUGGCCGAAAGGUCGUC